UUUUCGACUUUUUCUUUGCGCUGCUCUUUCUUCGUCAGUCUUUCAGUGUCGGGUCUAUAUGUUUUAAUGAGUUGCUUCUCUAUAUUCCACACUCUUUUAAAGUGUGAGUUUUUUCUGUUGAUGGUCUUUGAUUGUGUGAAAAUGGUAGUUAUCAGAUUCUUCACUUCCAAUUAUUGCCACGAAAGCUAUGUAUGUGUUCGUUUUGGUUGGAUUUCUUAUACUGAGGUUUGCUCCCUCUGGGUUUUAUACUAAUUUGAGAUCUCUGUGUUGAACUUCGUAUUUACUUCUUUUACUUAUUUACCAAAGUACGUAUACGGGUAGAUACGCAAAUUGCACAACACUUUACCAUUAUUUUAAUUUUAUUGGCUAUUUAAUUAGGAAUUGCAUCUGCAUUUGAACAGAAUUUAGCUUCGAAGUUGUAGGGAAAAACCCCUUUUACAUACAGUGAAGUCCAGACUUUUAGGAGGUCUGACAGAGCCCAAACGUAGAACUGAGACUCUGCGCCUCUCAUGAACCAUUGGGUCGCCUAGAAAAGUAUCUACUUUUGUGUUGAAGAUAAAGAGUACUACAAAAAGGGAAUCUAUAAUAGAGAGCCAGUGUAAUAAUUUUCAACCAAUUGGGUUAAUGAAUUAGACGUUGAUUAUUUUGAUAUUACAUGGUUUGCUUCACCCAUCUUUUUUUCUUAUCUCUUUGAGUUUAUUUUAUCAACUUUAAUUCUUACAUGAUUUUCUAUUAAUAUUUGGAAAGUUUAAUUUUUGAAUAAUGAAAAUAACAAAAAAAUGUGGUGAUUCAAGGGCGGACUUAAUGUUGCCCUUUUAGCUAUAAAUUUUCCAUCUUACUCCUUCUCCACUAUGGUUGCACUCCUGCCUGAUAGGAGAAUAAAAGUGAUUGUAAAUACCCAAUAUAUGAUCAUUCUCGAUUUUGUUCAUCAAUCCUUCUUUCGAAUUGUGAAUGAUAUUCAAUCAAGAGUAAAUUUUAGAGAGGGUAUAGUUAGCAUAUUCUGUUAGUCGUGGAUAAAUGAUCACUAAAGCUUUCACAGAAAGCAGAAAAGAACCAUCUUAUCGUCUCUCUGUAUGAUAAUGGAUAAAUUGUCCUAUCUAAAAUCCGUAAGUCUUAAUUUUUUCUAAUUAUGUUUUACACAUUUGAAUUUAUGCUAUUAAUGAGCUGCAAAUGCCCAAAAAUAUGUUAUCGUGUUUCUCUUUGUCUCUCUCUUUUUUGGGUUUGUGAGGGUGGAGCAUAAGGUUCAGUUAAAAGAGAUUAAUUUUUUAUAUUUGAUCCUUUCUUUAUGGUUACCCCUUUCUUUUCCGUCGUUGAGAUGAGUUGCUUAAUGAAGAGCUUGGAAGGAACUAUAUGGAAAUUUUGUCAGUUUAUCCAGGGGAUUGAGAUGUAGGCUUGAGAUGAACACAUGCGUAUUCCAACAAUAUCAUCGAGAUAUAACCAACCCCUCAAAGGAAAAUAGUGAACUUGGGUGUACUAUCAACAGAGGUGACCCUCAGGUUUUUCUUCAUGAUUUGAAGCAUACUGCUGCAAGUUCAUCACAAAAUAUGGAUUAUUUAGAGAUUAUGUUGGUGAUUAUCUCCAAGGAUGACAUCGAUAUUCUUGACUUUGCUGGUUGGAAGAUAUAAAGAUGGAAAGGCAGAUGGAAGUCGUUGUGUAAGAAUUGUAAUGUCUAUGAGUUCAAGUAAUUACACUUCAUUAUUCAGACUUGCCAAACUUAUUAGAAGAUAUUGACUUUCCCUUCUUGGAGAAGAUGUAUUCAGCGAGUCGUCUUUUUAUGCGCAAGAGAUAUGGAGAGAGUACAAGGCCAGAAGAAAUCUUGCUGAUUGUGCUAUUGUGGCUGAAGAGCUAUGGUAGAACGUCUUGGAUUUUGCAGCUCUCAAAGGGAGUUUUGUGUCAUUCUUCAAUAUGGAGAAACCAGAAAGUACUAUACAGUGGAAUAUAGUGUACAAGGGUCUAUGGGGCUAUUGAUUUGCGUUAAAGACAUUAAAUUUAUUUUAAUAAAGAAAAUCUUUGUGAAUUAGUUCAAUAGGUCAAUUUAUUCUUCAAGUAUCAAUAAUCGUGAACAGAUUCUUUUUACCUUUUAAUGUUGUGUAGAAGAUUCACGAUUCCAUAUGGGCACAAUUUAUAUUUCACUAUGACUAUGUGAUUUGAAAGUGAAAGCCCUACUUUUUCUACCAGUGAAUGUUAUUACAGGAUUUUAUACCUAUAUUAUAUGAAUAAAAAUGUUUAUCAACAAUUUUCAUGA